rnacentral:tRNA from 1 species
UCCCUGGUGGUCCAGUGGCUAAGUCUCUGCACUUCAAAUGCAAGGGGGCUGGGUUCAAUCUCCAGUCAGGGAA